rnacentral:lncRNA from 1 species
CAGGGGUACGUGUGAAGGUUUGUUACACACGUAAAUUGUGGGUUGCUGGGGUUUGGCGUACAGAUGAUUUCAUCACCCAGAUGCCUGUGCAGCAAUGAUGGAGGAAUGGAGGGUGUUGCUUAAUUUGGCAGAAGACUCUGUUCUCUUCAACAAAAACAAUCGAAACAUCAAUCAAAACAAUGGAUAGGAUAUGUUGAAAGAUCAGAAGCACAGGACUUUAGAAGCCCUAUUAGCUUGAGCGACUUUAGAGACAAUGUUAGAGACAACUUCCACAUCAAUAUGAAGAUAACCAACUUUGCUGUCCUUCUUUAUUUUGGUUCCGCUGGGAAUCUGGUUCCUGGUUAAUGCUACCAUGUACAAUAAACACAAGAACCAAAUAUAAAAUGUGGCAAUAACUUUGAUGGAUUGUGUGAUGGAAUGAGAGCAUCCAAUAGAAUUUUGCAUCUAUGAUCAAAUAUGCU